CAGCAGCCGCGGUAAUUCGGGGGGAGCAAACGUUGCUCGGAAUCACUGGGCGUAAAGGGCACGCAGGCGGCCUGAUCAGUGGAAUGUGAAAUGCCCUGGCUCAACCAGGGAACUGCAUUCCAUACUGUCAGGCUUGAGUAUCGGAGAGGAUGGGGGAAUUCCCGGUGUAGCGGUGGAAUGCAUUGAUAUCGGGAGGAAUACCAGUGGCGAAGGCGCCCAUCUGGCCGAAUACUGACGCUGAGGUGCGAAAGCUGGGGGAGCAAACAGGAUUAGAUACCCUGGUAGUCCCAGCCGUAAACGGUGAUCACUAGGUGUAGGAGGCAUCGACCCUUCCUGUGCCGUAGCUAACGCAUUAAGUGAUCCGCCUGGGGAGUACGACCGCAAGGUUGAAACUCAAAGGAAUUGACGGGGGCCCGCACAAGCGGUGGAGCAUGUGGUUUAAUUCGAUGCAACGCGAAGAACCUUACCUAGAUUUGACAUGCACUCGACCGGUGUGGAAACACACCUUCUCUUCGGAGCGGGUGCACAGGUGCUGCAUGGCUGUCGUCAGCUCGUGUCGUGAGAUGUUGGGUUAAGUUCCGCAACGAGCGCAACCCUUGUCCUUAGUUGCCAUCAAGUGAAGUUGGGCACUCUAAGGAGACUGCCGUCGAUAAGGCGGGAGGAAGGUGGGGAUGACGUCAAGUCCUCAUGGUCCUUACAUCUAGGGCUACACACGUGCUACAAUGGGCGGAACAAAGGGUUGCAAUACCGCGAGGUGGAGCCAAUCCCAAAAAUUCGUCCUCAGUUCGGAUUGCAGUCUGCAACUCGACUGCAUGAAGGCGGAAUCGCUAGUAAUCGCUGAUCAGCGGGCAGCGGUGAAUAUGUUCCCGGGCCUUGUACACACCGCCCGU
rnacentral:rRNA from 1 species